AUACGUAGGUGACAAGCGUUAUCCGGAUUUACUGGGCGUAAAGGGCGUGUAGGCGGUCUUGCAAGUCAGAAGUGAAAUUCCUGAGCUCAACUCGGGCGCUGCUUCUGAAACUGCAGGACUUGAGUGCUGGAGGGGAUAGCGGAAUUCCUAGUGGAGUGGUAAAAUGCGCAGAUAUUAGGAAGAACACCGGUGGCGAAGGCGGCAAGCUGGACAGUAACUGACGCUGAGGCGCGAAAGCGUGGGGAGCAAACAGGAUUAUAUACCCUGGUGGUCCACGCCGUAAACGAUGAAUACUAGGUGUAGGGGGUAUCGACUCCCUCUGUGCCGCAGUUAACACAAUAAGUAUUCCGCCUGGGGAGUACGGCCGCAAGGUGGAAACUCAAAUGUAUUGACGGGG
rnacentral:rRNA from 1 species